rnacentral:rRNA from 1 species
CAUUCCCUCCCUAGCCUACCCGCCCUUUAUUUAAGCGGAAACAACCACUAUAGGCUACUUAGACUAAAAUAAAAAAUAGGGGCCCUUCUCUAAGUCUAAGAAGGAAGCAGCAUUACUUCAUUUUUUUUACCAAGGAAUGGACUCACUUCCACUCCUUAGCCUGCCAUUGAAAUGAAAACAGACUUUAGGGACUCGUUUUCGAAACGAUCCGGUACCAAAUU